rfam:Schistosoma haematobium scaffold1399_18, whole genome shotgun sequence.
GUCUAGCUGACUAGUCCCAAAUAGGACGAAACGUGAGUCUUGUAU